rnacentral:lncRNA from 1 species
GGAUGGACAAGGCAUUACCUCAGGGCUGUCAUGUGGAUACACUUUGCACUGUUUGACUGCUUGUCAAGUCAAAAAGGUCACCACUGGAGCAAAUGUCAGUUGCAGUGCUGCUGAUGCUAAGCCAGACCAGGAGAGCAGCACAAAGGCUUUGCUGAGUUGAGGGAGAUGUAAACACAGGUUUAAGGACUUUCAUUAAUUGGGACCAGAAACUUUGGUGCUACCUCUGAGUUGCGGGGACAUACAGUACUUUAGAGACUUUAGUUAAUAUUUUUGCCAGAUAUGUUUUGUAAACAUAUAUCUUCAAAAAAAAAAAAAAAAGCUGAGAAAAGCUAACUUUUCUGUGAGGUGUUUUUUUUUUUUUUUUUAUGUGUUCUUUUUUUUUUUUUCUCAAAAGGCAUUUACAUUGCUCUUAUCCAAAAUUCCUGAGGUCUGUGUGUAUGAGAGACUAAGCACUUUAGUCUGCUUAAGCUUUGCAUGUGUUUUAUCACAAAACCAUGUAUAAGUCAAUCAAAUUUUGACACAAACUCAGUGUUCAGGCCUGUGAACUUGCAUUAAAUUAUGAUCUUGUGGCUUGUAACAGUAAAUAAAUGAAUAAUUAAAAUGCAAGUAAGAUUUGCAGUGAUUUUUGCUGCCCUAUUACACGCUAAGGCUCAGACCCAUGCAAAUGUCAGCAAUGGUAUGUAAAUGUUCAAAGAUUGUUCAGUUGCCACAGAGAGGGCAGUGAGCUGUAGCACAGAGCAACAGAGGGAGUCCUAUAAAACCUACACUGUUCUGAAUGCAAUUCUGUUCUUCAGCUAAAUACAUGAAGAAGAGACAAAAUUCCUGAACCGAGUCCAUGAGAGCCACGAGCAAGACACCUUGCCUACAGCUUUCAGCAUGGAUUUCUGAAGUUGCUGCACAACAUGAACCUCAGUUUGGAUGCAGAAAUGAAUCUAUAGCAAGACCCCAGACCACAGCAGGCAGAAGAGUAUUUUAUAAAGGACAUUCAGAUAUGUGAUGGGCAGCCUCUGACAGAUAUUGUGCAGACUCGGGGCCUCUGCUUAGGUUCACUGCCUGAAAGGAGGCAGGUAAGUCUCUCUCAGUGAUGGUUGCUGUGUUAGGGGGUGCUGGGACAGUUAUGCAACCUCUGUUUGAGUCUAGCAAACUGUUUAUUUGAUAGAUGUAAAGCUUCAGCAGGUCGCUUUGAAUCCCCUCCAGUUCCAUACACAUACACUUCACAGUGCUGGUAAAUCUGCAUUUCUGAAUUGCAGAAACGCUUCUCGCCCACCAGGCUAGGUGAACACCUUUAUCUCCUGUCUCUGCUGCUCAUCCUUGCCCUGUCGGCUUAACCUCCUGGCACACUUCUGCUGGUGGGGAUUGUUUUUUCUUGGUUUUCAGGAAAACAUGUGGUUACCUGUUGCCUAGGACACUGCUAAUCUGUGCAAUGUGGUAUGUUUCAGGGGAAAAUCGGGGUGAGGACUAAUGGCGGAAAAUCCCAUCAGCUGGAGCACGUGGUAAAGAUAUCAACCUGAGGAUUUGCAGAAGUUACUUGAAAGGAUACAAUUUUCUUUCCAAAGUCACCCUGAGAAGCACAGUUUUUCUCUGGAAAGAAAAAAUAAUAUAUAAAUAUAUAAAUAUAUUAAAAGGAGUGCCUGUGGCUAGUGUCC